AACGAACGCUGGCGGCAGGCUUAACACAUGCAAGUCGAACGCAUCCUUCGGGGUGAGUGGCAGACGGGUGAGUAACGCGUGGGAACGUGCCCUUCAGUUCGGGAUAACCCAGGGAAACUUGGGCUAAUACCGGAUACGUGCGAGAGCAGAAAGAUUUAUCGCUGAAGGAUCGGCCCGCGUCUGAUUAGCUAGUUGGUGGGGUAAUGGCCCACCAAGGGGACGAUCAGUAGCUGGUCUGAGAGGAUGAUCAGCCACAUUGGGACUGGGACACGGCCCAAACUCCUACGGGAGGCAGCAGUGGGGAAUAUUGGACAAUGGGCGCAAGCCUGAUCCAGCCAUGCCGCGUGAGUGAUGAAGGCCUUAGGGUUGUAAAGCUCUUUCGUCCGGGACGAUAAUGACGGUACCGGAAGAAGAAGCCCCGGCUAACUUCGUGCCAGCCGCCGCAGUAA
rnacentral:rRNA from 1 species